CCUACGGGAGGCAGCAGUGGGGAAUAUUGCACAAUGGGCGCAAGCCUGAUGCAGCCAUGCCGCGUGUAUGAAGAAGCCUUCGGGUUGUAAAGUACUUUCAGCGAGGAGGAAGGCAUUAAGGUUAAUAACCUUGGUGAUUGACGUUACUCGCAGAAGAAGCACCGGCUAACUCCGUGCCAGCAGCCGCGGUAAU
rnacentral:rRNA from 1 species